CGGAGGGGCUAGCGUUGUUCGGAAUUACUGGGGCGUAAAGCGCACGUAGGCGGCUAUUUAAGUCAGAGGUGAAAGCCCGGAGCUCAACUCCGGAAUUGCCUUUGAGACUGGGUAGCUUGAACGUCGGAGAGGUGAGUGGAAUUCCGAGUGUAGAGGUGAAAUUCGUAGAUAUUCGGAAGAACACCAGUGGCGAAGGCGGCUCACUGGACGACUGUUGACGCUGAGGUGCGAAAGCGUGGGGAGCAAACAGGAUU
rnacentral:rRNA from 1 species